UGAGGAAUAUUGGACAAUGGGCGCAAGCCUGAUCCAGCCAUGCCGCGUGCAGGAUGACGGUCCUAUGGAUUGUAAACUGCUUUUGUACAGGAAGAAACAGUUCUACGUGUAGAACCUUGACGGUACUGUAAGAAUAAGGAUCGGCUAACUCCGUGCCAGCAGCCGCGGUAAUACGGAGGAUCCAAGCGUUAUCCGGAAUCAUUGGGUUUAAAGGGUCCGUAGGCGGUUAGAUAAGUCAGUGGUGAAAGCCCAUCGCUCAACGGUGGAACGGCCAUUGAUACUGUCUGACUUGAAUUAUUAGGAAGUAACUAGAAUAUGUAGUGUAGCGGUGAAAUGCUUAGAGAUUACAUGGAAUACCAAUUGCGAAGGCAGGUUACUACUAAUGGAUUGACGCUGAUGGACGAAAGCGUGGGUAGCGAACAGGAUUAGAUACCCGACGUA
rnacentral:rRNA from 1 species